UACGUAGGGGGCUAGCGUUGUCCGGAAUCAUUGGGCGUAAAGAGCGUGUAGGCGGCCCGGUAAGUCCGCUGUAAAAGUCAAAGGCUCAACCUUUGAAUGUCAGUGGAUACUGCCGGGCUAGAGUCCGGAAGAGGCGAGUGGAACUCCUGGUGAAGCGGUGGAAUGCGCAGAUAUCAGGAAGAACACCAACGGCGAAGGCAGCUCGCUGGGACGGUACUGACGCUGAGACGCGAAAGCGUGGGGAGCGAACAGG
rnacentral:rRNA from 1 species